AUUGAACGCUGGCGGCAGGCCUAACACAUGCAAGUCGAGCGGAUGAAGGGGGCUUGCUCCUGGAUUCAGCGGCGGACGGGUGAGUAAUGCCUAGGAAUCUGCCUGGUAGUGGGGGAUAACGUCCGGAAACGGGCGCUAAUACCGCAUACGACCUGAGGGAGAAAGUGGGGGAUCUUCGGACCUCGCGCUAUCAGAUGGGCCUAGGUCGGAUUAGCUAGUUGGUGGGGUAAAGGCCUACCAAGGCGACGAUCCGUAACUGGUCUGAGAGGACGAACAGCCACACUGGGACUGAGACACGGUCCAGACUCCUACGGGAGGCAGCAGUGGGGAAUUUUGGACAAUGGGGGGAAGCCUGAUCCAGCCAUGCCGCGUGGGGGAAGAAGGUCCUCGGGUUGUAAAACCCUUUUAGUUGGGAAGAAAGGCAAUUAGCUAAUACCCUGGGGGUUUGACGGUACCAAAAGAAUAAGCACCGGCUAACUUCGUG
rnacentral:rRNA from 1 species